rnacentral:rRNA from 1 species
ACGCUCGACACCUACGGGAGGCNGCAGUGAGGAAUAUUGGUCAAUAGGCGCUAGCCUGAACCAGCCAAGUAGCGUGAAGGAUGAAGGCUCUAUGGGUCGUAAACUUCUUUUAUAUAAGAAUAAAGUGCAGUAUGUAUACUGUUUUGUAUGUAUUAUAUGAAUAAGGAUCGGCUAACUCCGUGCUAGCAGCCGCGGUAAUCUGAGCGGGCUGGCAAGGC